UAGGCUGACAAAUAGUCCUGGUUUGCCUGGGACUGAGGAGCUUCAAGGAUGUAGGUCUUCCAGUGCUAAAGCCGGGAGAGUC
rnacentral:miRNA from 1 species